rnacentral:rRNA from 1 species
AGUAGAGUGGCGCACGGGUGAGUAACGCGUAAAUAAUCUACCCCUGCAUCCGGGAUAACCCACCGAAAGGUGUGCUAAUACCGGAUACGUUCUUUUGAUCGCGAGAUUAAAAGAAGAAAGGUGGCCUCUGAUAUAAGCUACUGUGCGGGGAGGAGUUUGCGUACCAUUAGCUAGUUGGUAGGGUAAUGGCCUACCAAGGCAAUGAUGGUUAGCGGGUCUGAGAGGAUGAUCCGCCACACUGGAACUGGAACACGGACCAGACUCCUACGGGAGGCAGCAGUGAGGAAUAUUGCGCAAUGGGGGCAACCCUGACGCAGCGACGCCGCGUGGAUGAUGAAGGCCUUCGGGUCGUAAAAUCCUGUCAGAUGGAAAGAAAUGUUAUAUGGAUAAUACCUGUAUAGCUUGACGGUACCAUCAAAGGAAGCACCGGCUAACUCCGUGCCAGCAGCCGCGGUAAUACGGAGGGUGCAAGCGUUGUUCGGAAUUACUGGGCGUAAAGCGCGCGUAGGUGGUCUGUUAUGUCAGAUGUGAAAGUCCACGGCUCAACCGUGGAAGUGCAUUUGAAACUGGCAGACUUGAGUACUGGAGGGGGUAGUGGAAUUCCCGGUGUAGAGGUGAAAUUCGUAGAU